rnacentral:lncRNA from 1 species
AUCAACGCGUUGGUGGGGGGUGACCGGUCCUUCUCACGGGCUGUGAGCUUCAAGUUGCCCCCCAACAUCGAGGGGGAGAUUAGGUCGGUCCCCGACAACGACCUUCUUGACGGCGGUAUCGAGAUGAUAUGCCGAGGUCUAGUCUUGGCCCGCCGAGGGGUCGACGCUCGGAGGAGCCGAGUCGAGGACAUAUCGCGCCUCGAGCACGAUCUUCAAGAGGUCGGGCACAACCUGAAGCAGGCCGUGGAGGCCAACA